UUUAUCCACAUCAAUGUUGGAGAUCCAGCUUGCGUCCUCCAUGCAGAUACUUUUUCUGCUGCUGUGGCUGCCUCCUCAGAUCCCUCUGUACAGAAACCAAGGGGAGGGGAGCAAGGGUUGGAGAAGCCCCAUAAGAGGAAGAUUUAUUCUCCAUUCAACAGGCAUUUAUUAAAUAUCUAUUAUAUACGUGACACUGUAGCAAAUGAAAUGGUUGGAAGAAAGGAAGUGGAAAGCAUUUUUAGCUACCCCUAUCCCAACUUGUGCCAAACUCAUUCUCUAUUAUGAAAUGACCCUUCUCUUACUGGUCCUGGAAAUUGUUAGUAUUGUUAUUGUAUACUUAAUGUUUUGCAAUAUUUUAAGAUUAUAAAGUUCACUGGAUGGCCAGUUCCCUCAGGGCAAACGGAGUCCCAACCCAAGAACAUAGGAAAUUGAUAGAAAAUCAAAUGAAGUUGGUAAUUUUAGCUUUUAUGCACUUGGGAAGAGUCCUUAGGUUGGGAAGUGAACUUUGAAAUUCUAAAAUACUCCAGUUCUUACUCUGCCAAAGUAGAGAGAGGGAGAGAGAGAGAGAGAGAGAGAGAGAGAGAGAGAGAGAGAGAGAGAGAGAGAGAGAGAGAGAGAGAAACUAUGAGCAAGAAGGUCCAGGGAUUAAAAUGAUGAAAGCUAUUAAAAACCACUUGGAAUACACCUAAAUUAGGUUGAGAUAAUAACUAGUGGUGAAGAAAUUGGGCUUUAUCUAAAAGAAGAACCGGCCUUACAUAUGGUUAUUGAGCAUAUUUCAGACCAGAGACAAGAACAGAAUGGGGCAAGAACAGAACUUCCCAAACUGGGUUCACACAGGGUUAAAAGGAGUCUAUCGUUACACCUUUGCAAAUUUAACAAUCUUAAGUGUCUUGUUCCUUAUUUUGUUUUAUUGUACUUUCCCUACAUCUUCAAUUGUUAGUGUUGUCUUCCUUCUUGAAUUAACUUGUAUUUACAUAUUUGGUUACAUGUUGCAUUCAUUCCUCUAAAUAUAAUAUAGAAAUCCUU